rnacentral:lncRNA from 1 species
CCUCAGAUGCUCAGGUGUUUAAAGAGAAGUAGGGUCCCUCCCCCUUUCUGGGAAGGAAGGACCCUUAAAUUUAACAGAUACCUGCUUUCUGUGGAUCCUGCUGUGUACCUUUUCCAGAUCAAUAUGCUGAAUCAUAGAAGGAGAUUCUACAGAAAUUAAGACACUCAGAGUGAUCAUUGUAAUUCUACAAUUUACCACAGAAUACACUAAGGGACUGGGAGAGGCAGCUAUAUUAAAGAAGCUGGAUAUUGCACUCCAGUUUAAAUCAAAACAAUAAUCUCUAAGCUUCUAAAACAGAGUUUCCAUAGUAACAUGUCUUCAAGUAUGGGAAUAUGCAUCCAUAAAUAAGUCAUUUUAAGAAUUUUCAGUCUCUUUUUUCAUUCAGAGAAGCAUCCAUCUUCAGGUUCUAAUUCACAGCUCAAGU